rnacentral:rRNA from 1 species
AGUAAUACCUAGGAAUCUGCCUGGUAGUGGGGGAUAACGUUCGGAAACGGACGCUAAUACCGCAUACGUCCUACGGGAGAAAGCAGGGGACCUUCGGGCCUUGCGCUAUCAGAUGAGCCUAGGUCGGAUUAGCUAGUUGGUGAGGUAAUGGCUCACCAAGGCUACGAUCCGUAACUGGUCUGAGAGGAUGAUCAGUCACACUGGAACUGAGACACGGUCCAG